rnacentral:rRNA from 1 species
CCAUGUGACAUACCUACUGUUGCUUCGGCGGGAUUGCCCCGGGCGCCUCGUGUGCCCCGGAUCAGGCGCCCGCCUAGGAAACUUAAUUCUUGUUUUAUUUUGGAAUCUUCUGAGUAGUUUUUACAAAUAAAUAAAAACUUUCAACAACGGAUCUCUUGGUUCUGGCAUCGAUGAAGAACGCAGCGAAAUGCGAUAAGUAAUGUGAAUUGCAGAAUUCAGUGAAUCAUCGAAUCUUUGAACGCACAUUGCGCCCGCCAGUAUUCUGGCGGGCAUGCCUGUCUGAGCGUCAUUUCAACCCUCAUGCCCCUAGGGCGUGGUGUUGGGGAUCGGCCAAAGCCCGCGAGGGACGGCCGGCCCCUAAAUCUAGUGGCGGACCCGUCGUGGCCUCCUCUGCGAAGUAGUGAUAUUCCGCAUCGGAGAGCGACGAGCCCCUGCCGUUAAACCCCCAACUUUCCAAGGUUGACCUCAGAUCAGGUAGGAAUACCCGCUGAACUUAAGCAUAUCAAUAAGCGGAGGAAAAGAAACCCCCC